rnacentral:rRNA from 1 species
UUUGGAAUAACACGGGGAAACUUGUGCUAAUACCGAAUAAGCCCUUACGGGGAAAGUUUUAACGCCGAAAGAUGAGCCCGCACUUGAUUAGCUAGUUGGUAAGGUAAAAGCUUACCAAGGCAAUGAUCAAUAGCUGUUCUUAGAGGAAGACCAGCCACAUUGGGACUGAGACACGGCCCAGACUCCUACGGGAGGCAGCAGUGAGGAAUCUUGCACAAUGGGGGAAACCCUGAUGCAGCGAUGCCGCGUGAGUGAAGAAGGCCUUUGGGUUGUAAAACUCUUUCGUCGGGGAAGAAAAUGACUGUACCCGAAUAAGAAGGUCCGGCUAACUUCGUGCCAGCAGCCGCGGUAAUACGAAGGGACCUAGCGUAGUUCGGAAUUACUGGGCUUAAAGAGCUCGUAGGUGGUUAAAAAAGUUGAUGGUGAAAUCCCAAGGCUUAACCUUGGAACUGCCAUCAAAACUUUUUAGCUAGAGUGUGAUAGAGGUAAGUGGAAUUUCUAGUGUAGAGGUGAAAUUCGUAGAUAUUAGAAAGAACACCAAAUGCGAAGGCAACUUACUGGGUCACUACUGACACUGAGGAGCGAAAGCAUGGGUAGCGAAGAGGAUUAGAUACCCUCGUAGUCCAUGCUGUAAACGAUGUGUGCUAGACGUUGGGAAAUAUAUUUUUUCAGUGUCGCAGCGAAAGCAUUAAGCACACCGCCUGGGGAGUACGACCGC